CUCGCGAUGCAUCUAGAUUCGAACGCUGGCGGCGUGCUUAACACAUGCAAGUCGAGCGGUAAGGCCCUUCGGGGUACACGAGCGGCGAACGGGUGAGUAACACGUGGGUGAUCUGCCUCGCACUCUGGGAUAAGCCUGGGAAACUGGGUCUAAUACCGGAUAUGACCUUACAUCGCAUGGUGUUUGGUGGAAAGAUUUAUCGGUGCGAGAUGGGCCCGCGGCCUAUCAGCUUGUUGGUGGGGUAAUGGCCUACCAAGGCGACGACGGGUAGCCGGCCUGAGAGGGCGACCGGCCACACUGGGACUGAGACACGGCCCAGACUCCUACGGGAGGCAGCAGUGGGGAAUAUUGCACAAUGGGCGAAAGCCUGAUGCAGCGACGCCGCGUGAGGGAUGACGGCCUUCGGGUUGUAAACCUCUUUCGACAGGGACGAAGCGCAAGUGACGGUACCUGUAGAAGAAGCACCGGCCAACUACGUGCCAGCAGCCGCGGUAAUACGUAGGGUGCGAGCGUUGUCCGGAAUUACUGGGCGUAAAGAGCUUGUAGGCGGCUUGUCGCGUCGAUCGUGAAAACUUGGGGCUCAACCCCAAGCUUGCGGUCGAUACGGGCAGGCUUGAGUACUUCAGGGGAGACUGGAAUUCCUGGUGUAGCGGUGAAAUGCGCAGAUAUCAGGAGGAACACCGGUGGCGAAGGCGGGUCUCUGGGAAGUAACUGACGCUGAGAAGCGAAAGCGUGGGUAGCGAACAGGAUUAGAUACCCUGGUAGUCCACGCCGUAAACGGUGGGUACUAGGUGUGGGUUUCCUUCCACGGGAUCCGUGCCGUAGCUAACGCAUUAAGUACCCCGCCUGGGGAGUACGGCCGCAAGGCUAAAACUCAAAGGAAUUGACGGGGGCCCGCACAAGCGGCGGAGCAUGUGGAUUAAUUCGAUGCAACGCGAAGAA
rnacentral:rRNA from 1 species